GCGGGUUUAGCUCAGUUGGGAGAGCGUCGUAAGUGCUCACAUAAUUCUGUCAAGUGAGAGAAUCCGUUCCUAACAAUGUCAUAAAGAGACUGAAGUUAUCCAAAGCUUAUCUGAAGGUCGUGUGUUCGAUCCACAUAAGCCGCA